rnacentral:rRNA from 1 species
GUGCCAGCAGCCGCGGUAACACGUAGGGGGCAAGCGUUGUCCGGAUUUAUUGGGCGUAAAGGGCUCGUAGGCGGUUCGACAAGUCGGGUGUGAAACCUCCAGGCUCAACCUGGAGUCGCCGCUCGAAACUGUUGUGACUAGAGUCCGGUAGAGGAGCAUGGAAUUUGUGGUGUAGCGGUGGAAUGCGCAGAUAUCACAAGGAACACCAGUAGCGAAGGCGAUGCUCUGGGCCGGUACUGACGCUGAGGAGCGAAAGCAUGGGGAGCGAACAGGAUUAGAUACCCCCGUAGUCC